UCGAGAAUCUUCCGCAAUGGGCGAAAGCCUGACGGAGCGACGCCGCGUGUAGGAUGAAGGCCCUCGGGUUGUAAACUACUGUCACGGGUUAUGAAUGUGCAUAUGUUAACAGCGUGUGUAUUGACGUAAGCCCGAAAGGAAGCACCGGCUAACUCUGUGCCAGCAGCCGCGGUAAUACAGAGGGUGCAAACGUUGUUCGGAAUUACUGGGCAUAAAGCGCGCGUAGGCGGCGACGUAAGUGUAGGGUGAAAUCCCACGGCUCACCCGUGUGAAUUGCCCCGCAUACUGCGUUGCUCGAGUGUGGUAGGGGAGAGCGGAACUCCUGGUGGAGCGGUGAAAUGCGUAGAUAUCAGGAGGAACACCGGUGGCGUAGGCGGCUCUCUGGUCCAUAACUGACGCUGAAGUGCGAAAGCUAGGGUAGCGAACGGGAUUAGAUACCCCAGUAGUCCCUGAGCGGGCUGGCAAGGCGCAU
rnacentral:rRNA from 1 species